GGGGCUGUAGCGCAGUUGGGAGCGCGUCUGACUGGCAGUCAGGAGGUCAGGGGUUCAAGUCCCCUCAGCUCCACCA
rnacentral:tRNA from 2 species